rnacentral:lncRNA from 1 species
UUUCUCUAUUGGUAAGAAAUCUUGAAACAAAACUGAAUAACAACAUACGUAUAUAUUAAUACCAACAUUUAAUAUUUGAUCAUGUAUCUGCUUCGAACACUUUCUUACAAACCUACUUCUAUGUUAAAGGGUUUUGAGAAAUAAUAAAAUCAAGAAAAUUGAUAAACGAACAUUCAAAAACCUUACCAAUUUAAAAAAACUAGAUCUGAGUAAAAAUGAAAUCAAGGAGAUAGAAGAUCGCACUUUUAAAAACCCGACCAACUUAGAGCAAUUAAAUUUGAGAAAUAAUGGAAUCCAGAAAAUUGAUGUCCAAACCUUCCAAGAUCUUACCAAUUUAAAAGAAUUGUAAGUCAAAUCACUC